AUCUAUCUAUCUAUCUAUCUAUCUAUCUAUCUAUCUAUCUAUCUAAUCUAUCGCGCUACUUACAAAUGUUUUACGAACCUUAUGUCCAAGGUAUAUUUAUUUUAUAAGGUAGUGUUAAGGGCGAAUUCAAAAAAACUUGGGCGAAUCGAAAUACAACACUGUACAGUAUUUGUUUUUGUUUAGGCGAAUUCUGGUGUAGGCACAAUGUCAAAAACAGCUGAUUUAUAAUAUGAGGCGAAUUUGUAAAAAUUAAAAAAAAAAGUUGUUUGUAAAUAAAAGAUUUUUUGAAAUAUAAUAAAAUUGUUAAAAUUCUUCGAACACUCUUCGGUCUAGACAAGAAAAUGCUAAAAUAACGUUUGUCGGCUGAUCAGUGGAAGGCUUGUUUGCAGCAGAAGGACACAAAGGCUCAACAAUUAUUUAUGGAUAUAAUUAUUUUAAAUAAUUGCCUUUUCAAGUUUUUAGUGAAAUCUUAAACUACAUAGAACUAAAACAGAAUGGAAUAUAUAUCGUCAGUAUAUUA